AAGCGAGGGUAGUGAUGAGGACUUCUCUCAAAGCACAGGGGCCCCGGCAAUGUGGAUACCAUGGUAUUAAUGGGGCAGGUUCAUGCUGUGGAAUGCCGAUUCUGGCCCCAGGAAACAAGUACAGACUGCUGGGACCACAUAGUGUUGCAUGUCUGGGACGAUUCCCAGUGGCUGCAAAACUUUCACAUGCGUAAGGGCAUUUUCAU